rnacentral:rRNA from 1 species
GAUGAACGCUGGCGGCGUGCCUAAUACAUGCAAGUCGAGCGAACGGACGAGAAGCUUGCUUCUCUGAUGUUAGCGGCGGACGGGUGAGUAACACGUGGAUAACCUACCUAUAAGACUGGGAUAACUUCGGGAAACCGGAGCUAAUACCGGAUAAUAUUUUGAACCGCAUGGUUCAAAAGUGAAAGACGGUCUUGCUGUCCCUUAUGGAUGGAUCCGCGCUGCAUUAGCUAGUUGGUAAGGUAACGGCUUACCAAGGCAACGAUGCAUAGCCGACCUGAGAGGGUGAUCGGCCACACUGGAACUGAGACACGGUCCAGACUCCUACGGGAGGCAGCAGUAGGGAAUCUUCCGCAAUGGGCGAAAGCCUGACGGAGCAACGCCGCGUGAGUGAUGAAGGUCUUCGGAUCGUAAAACUCUGUUAUUAGGGAAGAACAUAUGUGUAAGUAACUGUGCACAUCUUGACGGUACCUAAUCAGAAAGCCACGGCUAACUACGUG